UGGGGAAUUUUGGACAAUGGGGGAAACCCUGAUCCAGCCAUCCCGCGUGUGCGAUGAAGGCCUUCGGGCUGUAAAGCACUCUUGGCAGGAAAGAAACGUCAUGGGUUAAUACCCCGUGAAACGGACGGCACCUGCAGAAUAAGCACCGGCUAACUACGUGCCAGCAGCCGCGGUAAUACGUAGGGUGCAAGCGUUAAUCGGAAUUACUGGGCGUAAAGCGUGCGCAGGCGGUUCGGAAAGAAAGAUGUGAAAUCCCAGAGCUCAACUUUGGAACGGCAUUUUUAACUACCGGGCUAGAGUGUGUCAGAGGGAGGUGGAAUUCCGCGUGUAGCAGUGAAAUACGUAGAUAUGCGGAGGAACACCGAUGGCGAAGGCAGCCUCCUGGGAUAACACUGACGCUCAUGCACGAAAGCGUGGGGAGCAAACAGG
rnacentral:rRNA from 1 species